UACGACUACAUAUCAGGCAUAUCAAUAAGCGGAGGAAAAGAAACUAACAAGGAUUCCCUUAGUAACGGCGAGUGAAGCGGGAAGAGCUCAAAUUUGAAAUCUUCAAGGUUCUACCUUGACGAAUUGUAGUUUAAAGAAGUGUUUUCUGUUAGAUGAGUAGCAAAAGUUCCUUGGAAUGGGACAUCAUAGAGGGUGAGAAUCCCGUAUUUGGUUAUUCAUUCUAGCUUUGUGAUACACUUUCAAAGAGUCGGAUUGUUUGGGAAUGCAGUCCAAAAUGGGUGGUAAAUUUCAUCUAAAGCUAAAUAUUGGCGAGAGACCGAUAGCGAACAAGUACCGUGAGGGAAAGAUGAAAAGAACUUUGAAAAGAGAGUUAAACAGUACGUGAAAUUGUCAAAAGGGAAGCGUUUGACACCAGUGUUGUUUUUUCCGAAAAUCAAUUACGAAUGGCUUGAUUUUGUGUUGUAUUGACCUUAUCAGCUUUCUGCACUUUUUUCGAGUCUUUCUUAAUGCACUUUUCGGUUAACAAGUCAACAUCAAUUUCUUUUGUUGUAAAAGAGUAUUCGGAAGGUGGCUUUCUUUUCGGAGAAAGUGUUUAUAGCCCUAUACUUCUACAAUCGGAGAGAUUGAGGUCUGCAGCGUAGAUCCUUCGGGGUUAGAUACACUUGUGCUAAGUUGUAGCUUUUCAUAGACAACUUGUUGACUAUGUUUAGUCAUGCGGCUUACUCGCUUGUGCUAUUUUACCUACGCUUAGGAUGUUGAGUAGCGACAUACGCAC
rnacentral:rRNA from 1 species